AGUUCCCUGCGGAGUUCGUGAUAAUCUCUUUUAAACCCACAUCAUAACAUCGGGAUGUUGAAUUUCCUCGUUGUCGUGCAGGCCUCCCGUUUCCGACCUCGAUCGGAAGCGGAAGUUGGAAGCUGGUAAGACGAGGAUAGACAGCCCACCUGCCAUUCGUGCAGGUUAUAAUUGGGGUUACACGGCUUUGUGGGGAUUUU
rnacentral:other from 1 species